rnacentral:rRNA from 1 species
GGGGGGGGGGGGGGGGGGGGGGGGGGGGGGGGGGGGGGGGGGGGCGGGCGGGGCGGGGGGGGCACGGGUGCGUGACGCGGGGGGGCCUGCGCGUCGUUGCGGGAUCACUCCCCGGCAGGGGUGCUAAUACCGGGUAAUUUCUUCGGACCCAAGAGUUCUCACUUUUGGAUGGGCACGCGUUGUCUUAGCUAGUUGGUGGGGUAACAGCCUACCAAGGCGAAGAUCCAUAGCUGGUCUGAGAGGAUGAUCAGCCACACUGGGAAUGAGACACGGCCCAGACUCCUACGGGAGGAAGCAGUGGGGAAUAUUGGACAAUGGGCGAAAGCCUGAUACAGCAAUGACGCGUGAGUGAUGAAGGCCUUAGGGUUGUAAAGCUCUUUUACCCGGGAUGAUAAUGACAGUACCGGGAGAAUAAGCGACGGCUAACUCCGUG